rnacentral:rRNA from 1 species
AUUGAACGCUGGCGGCAUGCUUUACACAUGCAAGUCGAACGGUAACAGGGUGCUUGCACCGCUGACGAGUGGCGAACGGGUGAGUAAUGCGUCGGAACGUGCCGAGUAGUGGGGGAUAACGUAGCGAAAGUUGUGCUAAUACCGCAUACGUACUGAGGUAGAAAGUGGGGGACCUUCGGGCCUCACGCUAUUCGAGCGGCCGACGUCUGAUUAGCUAGUAGGUGAGGUAAAGGCUCACCUAGGCGACGAUCAGUAGCGGGUCUGGGAGGAUGAUCCGCCACACUGGGACUGGGACACGGACCAGACUCCUACGGGAGGCAGCAGUGGGGAAUUUUGGACAAUGGGCGAAAGCCUGAUCCAGCCAUGCCGCGUGUCUGAAGAAGGCCUUCGGGUUGUAAAGGACUUUUGUCGGGGAGGAAAUCCCCAGCGUUAAUACCGCUGGGGGAUGACAGUACCUGAAGAAUAAGCACCGGCUAACUACGUGCCAGCCGCCGCAGUAAUAC